GCGCCAUCUUGGGUAUCUAUGGUGGCUCAGGAUGACCUAAAUUCACAUCCCUGCUCAGAUCAGCCUGAGCCAUCAUUUUUAGUCCAUGGCUCAACUGAGCCAGUCCUUCUCUUCACCUCUUCUCCUCAACCUGUACUCGUGUAAAUGCCUGCCUGAGCCCCAGACUCUGGGCUUUUGUCUGCUGCUGCUCUCAUCCUUUGGGCUUCUGAGCCUGAUCAACGUCCUCUCCCUUUGUUUCACCGCGUGAAUGAGUAGCCUUGUAAACUAUCCUCUGAACCAGCACGCUUUUGAGGGUGCGGAAACAUCACCCAACAAAUGCAGAGAAAACAAGCUGGAUCAAGGUGUCGCGAAUGCUUUCCAGGUGUUCCACCAACAGGCAUAGAAUAGAUUUCCACUGUCUUGCUCGGCCGGGAGGAGGAAUUCCCUCGGAAGACUGAGACAGAUGAUGAAGAGAGCCAAACGUUUGGGGCUACGCUGGGGCUGCAGACAUUUUUCUGACAUGGGAGGAAGCCUGUUUCCAGUUGUCACGAGGCACCCACUGUUUGCAAGGAAGGAAGGAGCAUUAGUUUCUCCCCCUGGAGGUCAAGUGGCAUGUUCUCCACAGAACUCCACGGAGGCAGAGCUGGGUUUCCUCUUCUCUGUGUGGAAGCCACAGUCAUGCGAAUCAGAAGCCUGCCUUUCUCUCAGGACAGGCGCCCAAGGUAAUGAGGGAAGAGUGUUCCAGCACAGGGCUGUUUUGGUUUGAUUUUUAAUUAA
rnacentral:lncRNA from 1 species